AUUGACGAGAGCCAAGAAGAAAACUAUGGAGGUGUGAGAUGGUGGACAAGAGGAUAUAAGUGGAGGGAGAACAUGAAAGCCCAAUGCAUAAAACAAACACUUAAUUUUUAAAUAUAUUUCAGAAUAUGCCGAGUAGAUUGCUCCGACUAUCUUUAAGAUUUGGGAGUAAUACAAAAGUACUUCCUCCAUAUUGAAAUAU
rnacentral:lncRNA from 1 species